UAAGAUAUAUAAUAUGAAUAUCAACAGCACAUCACAAUUAUGUGUGCUACACUAUAUCUGUUUUCUUAAUUCUUUCAGUUCCUAAUUUAUUUUGGAAUAUUUGUAGCUAAAACUUUUGAAAGCUCUUGCUGAUCUGAUAUCGAUUUUGGGUUCCUUGAACAGUUUCUACAGAACCUUUCCAUUUGGGUUUCUGCCGCUAAUCAAGUCGGGGAUGAACCGAUUGAUGCCGACUCCAAUUUAGGCCCGGUCAUGGUGGGGCGUUUGCUGGAGUUAUGUGAAGUAUUAUCAAGGGAUCCCCACCAUAUUUCUGUUAUGGAGUUUGGAAUGUAAGAGAGUUUGGAAUGUAAGAAUAGCAGUAAGAAAUUUUCUGAAUAAUAGCUUGAUUUGGUCAUAAACAGAUUGCACCAAAGCAAUGACCACUGAAGUUAUCAUGAACAUUAACAAUACAAGAAGAAAUUGGGAUCGAAGUUGAGGAGUUUUUUUUGGUUUGGUGAGACAAUCUCAGCGUUCUUCGUCCAAACAGGAGUAGGUGGUACAGGACUAAUAGCUCAUAGUUGGAACUGCCACUCACUUGCGUGCAGGAAUCCGGAAGAAAGAUUUAUGUCAGUAUCUCCUUAAUCAAGGAUGGGGACUCUUCGCUGGGAUUAGCUCUAACUCUAUGAAGGUAAUGCUUCACUUAGCUGCACAACCUUAGCUAGAUAGUUGGCAGAAUUGGAUGAUUUAGACAUAUGUAUUAGGAAUUGCAUGGUUUAUUCAAUCUCCUAUGACAAAAAGCUAAGAAAUAGGCACUGAAAUACAGAGAAGGCGAUUGUAUAUUGUUGAAAUAAGGAUUCAAUCUCCUAAAACUAUCAUGCUUAAUUGAUUGUUGACUUAUCCUCUAAAAGACUGCUCAACUCUAAAAUGGAAUAUUACUAAGCAAGUGGGUGACUUUUGGGUGUGAAUAUAUUCGCCAAGUGGCUUGCACCUUUAAUAUGCAUUUUUUUUAGAAAUCUAUGGAUAUUGCUAACCUCAGAUUUCGUCUCAUGAGCAUCAUCUAAAUAAAUAUAGUUCAUAAUCCUUAUUUUUAUACCUUGCUAUUACUGCAUCGAUUUUAUUUUUUCUUGCUUUCUAUCUUCGUAUUUCAUAAGACAACCAAUCUUUGUUUCAAAUUGCUGAAGUGGAAUUGAUUAAUAGUUAGGUUUGUUAUGUAUACAAUAUCGGUUUUUUUAUAUUGCUUGAUUAAUAGUUAGGUUUCCAGUCUACUGAUUUCUGUUGUGAUCAGCGUUACCACCUUUUUUUUAGCUGGUUGAUAGAAGAGUUAGAAUAUGAGCAGAACUGUGGGUAGAGGUACCAUCGGAACGUAUAUUAAAAGAGACACCAAAGGCUUUAAAUAAUCAAUCACUUGAGGAAGAUGUAGAUGUACAUGAAUGGAGUUUACGCCAUCAGGGUAAAUAGUAUUUGUUCUUGCUUUUGAUAUAUACGCACCUAAUUCCAUUCAAAAUCACCAGUGAUCCUAUAAAAUAAAUAGAUUUAUGAGGUUUGAAGGUUGCAAUUGCUUGCUUUUGCUUAUGCUAGACUUGAUUGUUGCUGCAAAUCUGUGUGUUUUUCAAGUUUUUAGUUAAUUAGGUUUUUUUGGGGGUGUUGGGCAGUUAGGUUUUUAUGGAGGUGUUAGAGCGUCCACAGUGGUACGAUCAAAACCAAAGAUCAAAGACCAAAACAAACGAUCAAAUUUGAGUUUAGUCUGUAGUGUCACGUUAAGGCAGUGGAGUAUAUUUAGUCGGGCGGAUG